rnacentral:rRNA from 1 species
AUUGAACGCUGGCGGCAUGCCUUACACAUGCAAGUCGAACGGUAACGGGCCUUCGGGUGCCGACGAGUGGCGAACGGGUGAGUAAUGUAUCGGAACGUACCUUUCAGUGGGGGAUAACGUAGCGAAAGUUACGCUAAUACCGCAUAUUCUGUGAGCAGGAAAGCAGGGGAUCGCAAGACCUUGCGCUGAUUGAGCGGCCGAUAUCAGAUUAGCUAGUUGGUGAGGUAAAGGCUCACCAAGGCGACGAUCUGUAGCGGGUCUGAGAGGAUGAUCCGCCACACUGGAACUGAGACACGGUCCAGACUCCUACGGGAGGCAGCAGUGGGGAAUUCUGGACAAUGGGGGCAACCCUGAUCCAGCCAUGCCGCGUGAGUGAAGAAGGCCUUCGGGUUGUAAAGCUCUUUCGGCCGGGAAGAAAUCGUAUCAGCUAAUACCUGGUGCGGAUGACGGUACCGGCAUAAGAAGCACCGGCUAACUAUGUGCCAGCAGCCGCAGUAAAAC